CCCCGCGCGCCCUCGCGCGUCCCCCGCGCCCGGGCGCAGCUGGCGCGGUCGGUCUAGUGCAGCGCUCGGCUCCGCGCCGCGGGCGCUCGGCUUCACCUUCAGAUGCGCGGGGCGUGCGCGUCCUCCUCCCCAGGCCCGCCGCCUCCCCGCCAAGGAGUUGUUACAGAGAGUUUAGAAUUUUCCAAACGGCUGAACUUCCGUGAGUGUUGUUCUUGUUUUUGCUUGUUGUUAAUUUUUAGUAUCAUGGUGCUGUAUUAUGGAGCUCCUGGGACCUGUACUGUUCCAAAUUUAUGGAACUUUUAGAGCCUUCCUUGUGGUUAAUAUGGAGGCAUUUGAUGUUCUAUUGCCAAUUUAGCAAAAUGGCAAAUUGUGGAGUGUGAUACUCGUAUAUUAGAUAAGCCUUACUUUAGUUUUCAAGCCCUCUAUUUCUUAUUACUUUUGCUUACUUAAUCCGCCAUGCUUACGAGAGAUUUGCCAAUUUUUCCAGAUCAUUUUUCUCUGUUUAUCUUUCCAGGUAUUCACUGUGGCUGUUUCUAAAUGUAUUUUAUUCUGUGUUUGUGGUAUUCUGUGUUAUUUGACUUGAAAGUAUAGCGUAACUACAGCUGGGGAAGGGGUGCUUUCCUGUAAUCCCAGCUUCUUGGGAGGCGGAGGCAGGAGGAUUGCUUGAGUCCAGAAGUUUGAGGCCAGCUUGGGCAACAUAGUAAGACCCUGUCUCAAAACAUUCCCCCACCCACAAAACCAAUAUUAGGAUAAUUAUAUCUUCUUUGUGACUUCUACUUUACCCUUUAUAGUUAUAAGAUAACCUCUUUUUUUUGUUUUGUUUUUGUUUUUGAGACGGAGUCUCGCCGUGUCGCUCAGGCUGGAAUGCAGUGGCACAAUCUCAGCUCACUGCAAGCUCCGCCUCCCAGGUUCACACCAUCCUCCUGCCUCAGCCUCCUGAGUAGCUGGAACUACAGGCACCCGCCACCAUGCCCGGAUAAUUUUUUGUAUUUUUAGUAGAGAUGGGGUUUCACUGUGUUAGCCAGGAUGGUCUCGAUCUCUUGACCUCGUGAUCCGCCCACCUCAGCCUCCCAAAGUGCUGGGAUUACAGACGUGAGCCACCGCCCCUGGCCAACUACUUUUGUAUAAUUGCCUUUUGUGACCACACAUUAAACUUUUAAUGAUAUUUUUUCCAUGUUGCUUUUGUUCGUAUUUUUCUGAUAUAUUUUUCUCUAUGUGUCCUGCUUUUCUGAGUUCCUUAGUCAUAGGUGUUUUUUUUUUUUUUUUUUUUUUUUUUCCAGACAGCAAAAGUCAAUGUAAUUUUUAACCCUAUCGUGGAGUCUUUUUUUAAAUAAGUAAAUGAGUUUAUUCCAUUUAUAUUUAUUUCUGAAACUGACUUGGUCUUCUUUCCUAAUUAAAGAAAAAAAAAACUUUUGUGUUGUACUUCCUCCCUUUUUCUUCUUUUCUAUUUAUUGGAAUAUGAAUUAUGUUUCUUGUCCUUUAUUAAAAUCAGAAAGCAUAUAGAAAGCAUAUCCUGCUUUUGGUUCCACUAGUGGCUAUAUUUAUAAUGUUUUCUUAAAGCUGUAUUUCUUAAUGUUUUAACAUCAGUAAUAAUACAAUUUGACUUCCCCUUUGGGAAAGAAGUUAGAACACUUCUGUUACCUUCCUCUUCUUUCCCCAUCUCCUCCCGCUUCCACAUUGCUAUUGUCAUUCCUUUUUUGGCUGUUUUUUUAGUUUGUUAGUAUUAAUUAUUUUUACAUGACAUAGUUUUUAUUUCAAGACAUGUAAGAAUCACAUGGUUAUUUUACGUGUAGAUCGCAGUUAUUUGGAUGUAAUUCUAUUUCUAUUUAUUUCCUUGCUUACUGGAUUUAGUGAUCAUUGCAGGAUUUUAUUAUUGCUUUUUCUUCCUGUGAGGCCUUCAUUUGGAGCCAUCCUGUUUGACCCGAUGACGUUUCCAGGUUGCUCUUAAAGGACUCUGGUGAGGACACUGGUCCUUAUGGAAGAGUUAGCCUGAGCUGGGUGAGAAUCCAAGCAACAGAAAAGUGGCUCAGAGCUCAGGAGAGCUGAGGAAAUUUCAUAUUGCUGAAGCCAGAGGUGCAUACAUGUGUGUGUUCAUACAUGUGAGUGCCGUGUGCAAGUGCAUAUGUGUGUAAGUGUGCCUGAAUGCAUGUGUGUAUACAGACACAUACACAUGCGAGUAUCCACACGUGUAAGUGCACCUAUGUGUAGGUACAUGUUUGCAAGUGUGCACGUGUAGUGAGCCUGUGCAAAUGCGCACACACACAUGCAAGUGUGCACAUGCAUGUCAGGGAUGGCGGGCGUGUCUGGGUGGUAGCCAAGAGCUGAUGUUUGAGAGGCCGUUAAAGACCACAUCAUCUUGACUGUGAAUUGUCUUGAAGAAUAUGGACUCUGUCCCAAAGGCAAUGGGAAGAGAUGUUGUGGAGGGUCCCUCAGCCAGUCUACAGCAGGGAGGAAGCGUCACAGGCCAGGGACACUGACCAAGGGACCAGCAGGAGGUUUCUGAAGGGAAGAUGAUUCGAUGGUUCAGAACAGGAAGAGGAUGGAGCUC
ensembl:lncRNA